AUGUGGUUGUUGUCAUUUUAAAUUAAACGGGAGUUGAAUGUGGGUUUUGCCCUAUUUUAGCGAUCACGUCAAAUGCCACUAGAGAUGUGGUCGCUAAUUAUGAACUAUAUCACAACAAAAGCUUUCGCAUUUUCUCUGUCAAAUGCUUUCACAAUGUCUCCACAAGAAAAUCUAACUCCCCAAUUGAUCGGUAGCACAACGAAAGCUUUCUCCUCUUCUCUCCCAAUUGUUUCCACAAUGUCUCCACCCAAAAGAACCCUAAAUCCUCAAUUGAUUUGUAGUGCCACCGGUCUCUGCCGCCUUUUCCUUUGUGCGCCGCUGCUCAAAGUGUUUCUCUCUCUCUCUACAGGUUGAGCAACCAUUUUUAGCUGAGCAAAAAAAGGAGAAAAGAAAAAAAGUUUUGUCUCCAUUCUUGAGCGAAAACUUAUCUAAGAGAAGCAAACCAGAUAAGCAAGUAUAGCAAAGGGAACAGAGUCUGAAAUAAGCUCAAAACCAGUGGAAGCUUCUAGACUUUCUUCUCUCAAUGCUCUCACAAAUAUUUCAUAUUCAAAGUUUCGAAGGGAACAAAGCUCCAAGUUCUAUGGAAAAUUUAUAUCCUCAGUGCCAGCUUCCCUCUAUUUCACUCCAACUCUUACAUCACUUCGCUUUCAGCCUGUGAGGGUUAAACAAAUGUAAGCUGGAGAUGAUGAAGAUUAUGAUUUGAAGCAAAUGAGAGAUACUGCUGCUGCCAAGAGGAGAUGGGACCUUUUGGCCAACCAGGAUUAGGAGAGUCAAACUCAGAUGACUAGCUUGACUUGAGACAUUCGUCACUGGAGGCUGGUGGAGUGGCGCACCUACAUUAGCUUAUGAUAAGAGAUUCUUGAGGUGCGCCUAGCGGAGGUGUCUCACAAUGAAAAGGGUAAUAUGGUGCCAAGAGAAUAUUCUUAGAGACAAUUCGAGCUUCAUCGCAUAGCAGAUAUGUACAUAGGACGAGCAAGAAUAAGACGUCUUCAUAUCAUUCUGAUCCGUCGACUCUGGCUGUACAUCCACUUUAUAAUCUGGAAUUUGUUUGUUUAUCAUUUUUAGUGUGUUUGAACUUAUUAAUAUUUUUGUACAUUACAAAAUUUGUAAUUUAAAUUACAUUUCUUUUUAGUUAUGUUAUUUUAUGAUUCAUAAUUUUAUUAA